UACGUAGGGUCCGAGCGUUGUCCGGAAUUACUGGGCGUAAAGAGCUCGUAGGUGGUUUGUCGCGUUGUUCGUGAAAACUCACAGCUCAACUGUGGGCGUGCGGGCGAUACGGGCAGACUUGAGUACUGCAGGGGAGACUGGAAUUCCUGGUGUAGCGGUGGAAUGCGCAGAUAUCAGGAGGAACACCGGUGGCGAAGGCGGGUCUCUGGGCAGUAACUGACGCUGGAGGAGCGAAAGCCGUGGGGAGCGAACAGGA
rnacentral:rRNA from 1 species